CCCUAUCUCCUCACCUCUCUCUCGCUCAUCUCCCCCUCUCUCUCCAGCAGGUGGCCGACACCACUCCGGGUGGCGGCGGCGCCAGCUUCUCGGCGGCAACGACGAACACAGAAGGUCGACGAAGGUUUGAGCGGCGGUGGCGGCGGUAGAUCGGAACGACGGGCGGCAGCUCGAUGGUUCAGGUUCGAGUUCAGACACGUUCCUGUUUCGGGUCGCGAUUAGGGUUUCGAGUUUAAUCGGUUCAGGUCAUCGGAGCUCCGGCCCGGCUGACAAUGGCAACGGAUUCAGGUCUCGGUUCGGUUGAAUCGGGUGGCUCGGGAUCGAGCCUGGGUUUGAUUCGGUUCCGUUUUCGUUCUCUUGAAUCGGGUGGCUCGGGAAGGUUUCAAAAUUCAGAUGGAGGCGUUGGGAGAUACAGAUCCCAGAGUCGCUGAGACUUGCAGAUACUUAGCUGAGGCUCUUGUUCAAGCAAUGCAAUUUGAUGAAGCAGAUACCUUAUGCAAAAGAACCCUUGAAAUCCACAGAAUACACAGUGCACCUGCAUCACUUGAAGAAGCAGCUGAUAGACGAUUGAUGGCCCUUAUAUGUUUUGUCGCUGAUUGGUGACUUGCUAUUGUUGUUUGUUGAUGUUUGUUAAUCAGGCUGCUGACAUUACCGACCGACUCCAACGACAUCGAAAGGUUGUAGGACUAUGACGACCGACUCCAACGACAUCGAAAGAUCUGUGGUGGUCCCCUUGUCACGGAAUUAUCGACUUCAACCGUUGUAUAAGCAUGGGCUCUACCUUAAGGUACCUAAUUACAUUUCGUUGUACUUAUCGUUAUUCUUGUCGGACGCCGGAUUUACAUGAGACGCCGUCAUGCUAUACUUGCCUCUUUUUGGUUACAUGUCAAAUUGCUGUCAAAGUCGAUUAAAGAUUGUAGAAUUGAU